UAAUAAUAAUAACGACUACAGGUCCCGCCAUAUGGACGAGACGGCAAGACAGAAGGGUGACUACAUCGAUGACCCGGAUGAAAAUGAUGAUUACGGUAGGGAUAGAUUACCUCGUACACGAGAAUCACGUGCCAGAGGAAAACAAGUCCAUGUGUUAGUAAAACAUUGGUCUGGAUGAGUAGGUCAGGGUGUUUGUGACAAUCUUCGGCAGGCAAUAGAAGAUAACUAUGACGAAGCAGACGUAUCAUUUGAAGAGAGAAAUGGCGCAAUAAGAUCUUUUGAGGUGUACGUCAACGACAGUUUAAUGUAUUCAAAACUUCGGAACGGCGGUUACCCAUACGAAGAUGACGUAUUGCUUGCAAUUGAGAAAGCCAAGCGAGGGCACGAAGUCAAACUUGUUAGGAGCGGAAGGUCCAUUCUCUGUUCGAUUCUUUAGAGAUAAUGACGUCACAGAUACCCUGCACGAGACAUAAUCAUUCCGGAGAAAAAAAAAUCAAUAGUUUAUAAAAAAAAACUAAGUGUUACAAACUAUGAGAUGUACAUAUAUUGACAACAUUUGUGUUAGCAUAGCCUACAAUGACGUUUCACAUCGAAAAUUAAAGUGAUGUGGGACUGAAAAAAUGCACGUGCAAACACAGACACUUGGGUGUGUAGAGCUCAAGUCACCUUUAAAAUCAAAAUAAAAUGCAUAUUUGUCAAUCCCAGCACAUGUACUUAUCAUAUACAUGAAAAAACUUAAUAUAAGCCGUUUUUGGAAAUUUCAUAUUU